rnacentral:rRNA from 1 species
GACGAACGCUGGCGGCGUGCCUAAUACAUGCCAGUUGAGCGCUGAAGGUUGGUACUUGUACCAACUGGAUGAGCAGCGAACGGGUGAGUAACGCGUGGGGAAUCUGCCUUUGAGCGGGGGACAACAUUUGGAAACGAAUGCUAAUACCGCAUAAAAACUUUAAACACAAGUUUUAAGUUUGAAAGAUGCAAUUGCAUCACUCAAAGAUGAUCCCGCGUUGUAUUAGCUAGUUGGUGAGGUAAAGGCUCACCCAGGCGAUGAUACAUAGCCGACCUGAGAGGGUGAUCGGCCACACUGGGACGGGGACACGGCCCAAAAUCCUACGGGAGGCAGCCGUAGGGGAUCUUCGGCAAAGGACGAAAGUCUGACCGAGCAACGCCGCGUGAGUGAAGAAGGUUGUCGGAUCGUAAAACUCUGUUGGUAGAGAAGAACGUAGGUGAGAGUGGAAAGCGCAUCAAGUGACGGUAACUACCCAGAAAGGGACGGCUAACUACGUG